rnacentral:lncRNA from 1 species
AUGAGUACAUUCUUAAUCAAUUAUUUUAUCAAAUAAUUUUUAGUAUUCAAUUUUACCUCAGACACCUCUUCAGCAGGUGUGUGGCACCUUCACUGAAAGUUCUGAUUAGGUCCAACCAUUAACAUACCAGAGUUUAGUAUAUCUAACAAAUAAGUGACCAGGCCUGAGUGUGGCUCGACCAACCUGACCAUCAUCAGAAAGAUACAACUAAAAUAACAUAUUAUGAAUGAUAAUUCUGACAGCC